UCUUUAACAUAAACAUUAAUACCCAGGUCAGACGUAAACGCAGACAGAUUAGACACAAUUCUGCCAACAGCACACGUAGGCCUACUGCUCAAAACAUAAUGGCGU